AUUGAACGCUGGCGGCAGGCCUAACACAUGCAAGUCGAGCGAGCGGCGGACGGGUGAGUAAUGUAUGGGGACUGCCCGAUAGAGGGGGAUAACUACUGGAAACGGUGGCUAAUACCGCAUACUAUCGGAUAACCCAUAUGGGAUUAGCUAGUAGGUGGGGUAAAGGCUCACCUAGGCGACAAUAUCUAGCUGGUCUGAGAGGAUGAUCAUCCACACUGGGACGGAAACAGUGCCCAGACUCCUACGGAGGCAGCAGUGGGGAUUAUUGAACAAUGGGCGCAAGCCUGAUGCAGCCAUGCCGCGUGUAUGAAGAAGGCCUUAGGGUUGUAAAGUACUUUCAGCGGGGAGGCGUUACCCGCAGAAGAAGCACCGGCUAACUCCGUGCCAGCCGCCGCGGUAAUAC
rnacentral:rRNA from 1 species